CUUGAACGCUGGCGGCAUGCUUUACACAUGCAAGUCGAACGGCAGCGCGGGCUUCGGCCUGGCGGCGAGUGGCGAACGGGUGAGUAAUGCAUCGGAACGUGCCCAGCAGUGGGGGAUAGCCCGGCGAAAGCCGGAUUAAUACCGCAUACGACCUGAGGGUGAAAGCGGGGGACCGAAAGGCCUCGCGCUAUUGGAGCGGCCGAUGUCGGAUUAGCUAGUUGGUGGGGUAAAGGCUUACCAAGGCGACGAUCCGUAGCUGGUCUGAGAGGACGACCAGCCACACUGGGACUGAGACACGGCCCAGACUCCUACGGGAGGCAGCAGUGGGGAAUUUUGGACAAUGGGGGCAACCCUGAUCCAGCCAUGCCGCGUGCGGGAAGAAGGCCUUCGGGUUGUAAACCGCUUUUGUUCGGGAAGAAAUCCUCUGGGCUAAUACCCCGGGGGGAUGACGGUACCGGAAGAAUAAGCACCGGCUAACUACGUG
rnacentral:rRNA from 1 species